rnacentral:rRNA from 1 species
GACGAACGCUGGCGGCGUGCUUAACACAUGCAAGUCGAACGAUGAAGCCGGAGCUUGCUCUGGUGAAUUAGUGGCGAACGGGUGAGUAACACGUGAGUAACCUGCCCUUGACUCUGGGAUAACUGCUAGAAAUGGUAGCUAAUACCGGAUACGACCCUCGGAGGCAUCUCCAGGGGGUGGAAAGAAUUUCGGUCAAGGAUGGACUCGCGGCCUAUCAGCUAGUUGGUGAGGUAACGGCUCACCAAGGCGACGACGGGUAGCCGGCCUGAGAGGGUGACCGACCACACUGGGACUGAGACACGGCCCAGACUCCUACGGGAGGCAGCGGUGGGGAAUAUUGCACAGUGGGCGCAAGCCUGAUGCAGCAACGCCGCGUGAGGGAUGACGGCCUUCGGGUUGUAAACCUCUUUUAGUAGGGAAGAAGCGAAAGUGACGGUACCUGCAGAAAAAGCACCGGCUAACUACGUGCCAGCAGCCGCGGUAA